UUUAAAGUGGCAGAUUAUGCGAGAAUUUUAAGAGUUCUUUAAGAUAACAUCCUUUAAAU
rnacentral:tRNA from 1 species